rnacentral:rRNA from 1 species
CGAAGCAACGCGAAGAACCUUACCAGGUCUUGACAUCCCAGUGACCGUCCUAGAGAUAGGAUUUUUCUUCGGAACACUGGUGACAGGUGGUGCAUGGUUGUCGUCAGCUCGUGUCGUGAGAUGUUGGGUUAAGUCCCGCAACGAGCGCAACCCCUAUUGUUAGUUGCCAUCAUUAAGUUGGGCACUCUAGCGAGACUGCCGGUAAUAAACCGGAGGAAGGUGGGGAUGACGUCAAAUCAUCAUGCCCCUUAUGACCUGGGCUACACACGUGCUACAAUGGCUGGUACAACGAGUCGCAAGUCGGUGACGGCAAGCUAAUCUCUUAAAGCCAGUCUCAGUUCGGAUUGUAGGCUGCAACUCGCCUACAUGAAGUCGGAAUCG